GAGGUCGCCCAGCACAACGCCAGCCUGGUCACCAAAGGCGCCGGCAGCUCUCAACUCAAACGUGACUGUGCCCCUGCUAACGGGACAGGUGCUUUGCCCAGGGAGCCUCUCUCCUUCCCCCCCGCAUCUGCACGCUUCCGCUUCCUCUUCUUGCUUGCUCCUGCCUCCCAGCUCCCCACGCCGCUUCUUCUUCUUCCUUCUGCAGCAGCUCCUCACUGACACGCGGCAGACUUCCAGCCAGUGCUGCGGGGGAU
rnacentral:lncRNA from 1 species